UGCUAAUACCGAAUGUGCCUUAGGGUGAAAGAUUUAUUGUCUAGAGAUUGGCUCGCGUCAGAUUAGCUAGUUGGAGUGGUAACGGCACACCAAGGCGACGAUCUGUACUUGGUCUGAGAGGAUGACCAGGCACACUGGAACUGAGACACGGUCCAGACUCCUACGGGAGGCAGCAGUGGGGAAUUUUCCGCAAUGGGCGAAAGCCUGACGGAGCAAUACCGCGUGAGGGAGGACGGCUUUUGGGUUGUAAACCUCUUUUAUCAGGGAAGAAUCGAUGACGGUACCUGAUGAAUCAGCAUCGGCUAACUCCGUGCCAGCAGCCGCGGUAAUACGGAGGAUGCAAGCGUUAUCCGGAAUUAUUGGGCGUAAAGCGUCCGUAGGUGGUUUAUCAAGUCUGCUGUCAAAGCGUGCGGCUUAACCGCAUAAGGGCAGUGGAAACUGAUGAACUAGAGUGCGAUAGGGGUAACAGGAAUUCCCAGUGUAGCGGUGAAAUGCGUAGAUAUUGGGAAGAACACCAGCGGCGAAAGCGUGUUACUGGGUCUGCACUGACACUGAGGGACGAAAGCUAGGGGAGCGAAAGGGAUUAGAUACCCCUGUAGUCCUAGCCGUAAACGAUGACAACUAGGCGUGGUUCGUAUCGACCCGAGCCGUGCCGUAGCCAACGCGUUAAGUUGUCCGCCUGGGGAGUACGCACGCAAGUGUGAAACUCAAAGGAAUUGACGGGGGCCCGCACAAGCGGUGGAGUAUGUGGUUUAAUUCGAUGCAACGCGAAGAACCUUACCAAGGCUUGACAUCCUCGGAACCCUGAUGAAAGUUAGGGGUGCCUUCGGGAGCCGAGAGACAGGUGGUGCAUGGCUGUCGUCAGCUCGUGUCGUGAGAUGUUGGGUUAAGUCCCGCAACGAGCGCAACCCACGUUUUUAGUUGCCAGCAUUCAGUUGGGCACUCUAGAGAGACUGCCGGUGACAAACCGGAGGAAGGUGUGGAUGACGUCAAGUCAGCAUGCCCCAUACGCCUUGGGCUACACACGUACUACAAUGCGUCGGACAAAGAGCAGCCAGCCAGCGAUGGUGAGCCAAUCUCAUAAACCGACGCUCAGUUCAGAUUGCAGGCUGCAAC
rnacentral:rRNA from 1 species